UGCAAUGUCGAUCCUCUUCUCGAGCUCCCUCCCUCUCGCGAACCUGCUCCCCAAAAGCCACCGACUACCAGCUCUGCCGAGUCCUCAUUCCUGUGCCCUAAGCCCAAUGCCGCCACCAUCCCUCUGCCUCUCGCAACCUUGUUGUGCCACCCAUCGCCGCUGUGCACAAGCACCAGCCGACGAUCUCUCCCGCGGAUGAGCACCCCCGGACGCCGCCGGCCUCCCCUCCUUCUCACGCGGCCACCACAGCCAUGGCCUCGCUCCCUCACGCGGGUGCCAGUCGUCGAGCACAAUAGCCGCCAGUGAUCUCCUCCUCACGCGAGCACCCUAUCCACCGAGCCACCGUAGACGCCGGCUCCUCUCUUCCUCGCACUCGACGCCGCCGACCUUCCUCCCUUUCCCUCUCUUGGCGUUGUGCCAUAGCAGUAAUUUCGGUGGAUUCGGUGUUGAUGGAAUUGCUGGUUUCCAUGAAUUGGUUGUGAAGCAGUGGACGGAAUUUGGAGGACAUUGAUUGAAGACGGUUGACACGAUCUGCAUAUAAAGGAGGGUACUUCUUGCUU